CUCAGGAUGAACGCUGGCGGCGUGCUUAACACAUGCGAGUCGAACGAGGAAGGUUAGAGUGAGAGCUUCGGCAGGAUUUCUUUCCAUCUUAGUGGCGGACGGGUGAGUAACGUGUGGGCAACCUGCCCUGUACUGUGGAAUAAUCAUUGGAAACGAUGACUAAUACCGCAUGUGGUCCUCGGAAGGCAUCUUCUGAGGAAGAAAGGAUUUAUUCGGUACAGGAUGGGCCCGCAUCUGAUUAGCUAGUUGGUGAGAUAACAGCCCACCAAGGCGACGAUCAGUAGCCGACCUGAGAGGAUGAUCGGCCACAUUGGGACUGAGACACGGCCCAAACUCCUACGGGAGGCAGCAGUGGGGAAUAUUGCACAAUGGGCGAAAGCCUGAUGCAGCAACGCCGCGUGAAGGAUGAAGGGUUUCGGCUCGUAAACUUCUAUCAAUAGGGAAGAAACGAAUGACGGUACCUAAAUAAGAAGCCCCGGCUAACUACGUGCCAGCAGCCGCGGUAAUACGUAGGGGGCAAGCGUUAUCCGGAAUUACUGGGUGUAAAGGGAGCGUAGGCGGCAUGGUAAGCCAGAUGUGAAAGCCUUGGGCUUAACCCGAGGAUUGCAUUUGGAACUAUCAAGCUAGAGUACAGGAGAGGAAAGCGGAAUUCCUAGUGUAGCGGUGAAAUGCGUAGAUAUUAGGAAGAACAUCAGUGGCGAACGCGGCUUUCUGGACUGACACUGACGCUGACGCUCGAAAGCGUGGGGAGCAAACAGGAUUACAUACCCUGUGAGGCCACGCGGUAAUCGAUGAGUUCUAGGUGUCGGGGGAGGGAAUCCUCGGUGCUGCAGCUAACGCAAUAAGCACUCCACCUGGGGAGUACGACCGCAAGGUUGAAAAUCAAAGGAAUUGACGGGGACCCGCACAAGCGGUGGAGCAUGUGGUUUAAUUAGAAGCAACGCGAAGAGCCUUACCAAGGCUUGACAUCCCGAUGACCGUCCUAGAGAUAGGACUUCUCUUUGGAGCAUCGGUGACAGGUGGCGCAUGCUUGUCGUCAGCUCGUGUCAUGAGAUGUUGAGUUAAGUCCCGCAACGAGCGCAACCCUUAUCUUCAGUAGCCAUCACUCAGUUGGGCACUCUGGAGAGCCUGCCGUGGAUAACACGGAGGAAGGUGGGGAUGACGUCAAAUCAUCAUGCCCGUUAUGUCUUGGGCUACACACGUGCUACAAUGGCUGGUAACAAAGUGACGCGAGACGGCGACGUUAAGCAAAUCACAAAAACCCAGUCCCAGUUCGGAUUGUAGUCUGCAACUCGGCUACAUGAAGCUGGAAUCGGUAGUAUUCGCGAA
rnacentral:rRNA from 1 species